UGGAAUAUACAAGUUUAGAAGUGAACCCUUUUUAGAACCCUCUGGACUGACAGUGUAUAUCUCGCCGAUAAACCCGGUCGCUCUCUGUGCGGUUGCUAUCCAAGUUUUCGAUGUGUAUAUAGGUUUUCAGUGUGAGAACAAGAGCGUUAACCCAAUCUGUAGAGCGGAAAAGCGCGAAAUUCGCUGAGCGAAAACUAUAUAAUAACCGUAAGUUGCACGGACGUGAUUAGUCUCGUGGCGCUGAUCGAAGGCAAAAGAACCAAGCUACGCUGAAAGAAAAAACGGCAGUGAUCGAACCGAGUGAUAAAUGCAAACAACGCAUAUUGAAGUGAUAAACAAGUGGCAAAAAUAAACAAACCAUUUUAGCUAAAUUAAAAUCUGUGCUACCCGUCCGCAACCUUGCGACAGUAUCCAAAUUUAUCGCAACAUCGGGGAGCAACUUUCUCAGCCGCAAUAUGUCUACUCCAGCAAACCCCUCAAGCAAUCACAAAAUGAACGGAAAUGGUGAAAUCUACUGCUAUGGCGACCUAUUGCACACCAUUCAAAUGGCUCAACUUUUCCCGGAUUCAAAGACGUUUGUGGACAUGAAACUGAAUAAUUCGCCCGAUAAGACGCUCACGGACUUUAGAGCAAUGAUGGAGACCAAAAACAACACGCCCAGCAGAGAUGAUCUAACGAAGUUUGUGGAUGAAUACUUCAGUCCCAAGGGCACUGAACUGGAGCUGUGGGAUCCCACGGAUUGGAAGGAGAAUCCCAGCUACCUCGAUCGCGUUUCGGAUCCGGAUCUAAAGCAGUGGGGCGUGGAGCUGAACAACAUUUGGAAGCAGCUGGGUCGCAAAAUGAAGGACGAUGUGCUGAAGAAUCCGCAGUACUACUCCAUUAUCCCUGUGCCAAACCCGGUAAUCAUUCCCGGCGGUCGUUUCAUCGAGUUCUACUACUGGGACUCGUACUGGAUCAUCCGUGGAUUGCUGUACAGCGAGAUGUACGACACCGCCCGUGGAAUGAUUAAGAACUUCCUGUCCAUUGUGAACCGCAUCGGAUUCAUUCCGAACGGCGGACGAGUUUACUACCAUGGUCGCUCCCAGCCGCCACUUUUGACGGGAAUGGUCAAGUCAUACGUGGACUUCACAAACGAUGACAAGUUCGCCAUCGAUGCUUUGGAGGAUCUGGAGCAUGAGUUCGAGUACUUUGUGAAUAACCACACGGUGGAGGUGAAGAACCACAGCCUGUGUGUCUACCGCGAUUCGUCGACGGGUCCACGACCGGAGUCCUACAGCGAGGAUGUGAAGACUGGCGAGAGUUUCAGCACCGAUGCGGAAAGGGAGCUCCACUACAGCGAACUCAAGGCGGCGGCUGAGUCGGGAAUGGACUUCAGCUCCCGUUGGUUCAUCAACGAUAAGGGCACCAACGAAGGAAAUCUCACUAACCUAAGUACCAGCUUGAUCGUGCCCGUCGACCUGAACGCCUAUCUCUAUUGGAACGCCAAGCUGAUUGCUGAAUUCCACUCCAAGGCCGGCAACACAAAGAAGGUUAUCGAGUACGAAAAUAAGGCCGAGAAGUUCUACCAGGGCAUCCAGGAAGUGCUGUGGAACGAGGAGGCCGGUUGCUGGUUGGACUACGAUAUGAAGAACGAGAAGUCGCGCGAUUACUUUGUACCCACCAAUUUGUCUCCGCUGUGGGUUAAGGCCUACAAUAUCUCCGACUCGGAGAAGAUCUCGGCUUCGAUUAUGGCCUACAUUGAGAGGAACAAGCUGGACUCAUUCCCCGGUGGAGUUCCCAAUACGUUAGCCACUCCCGGAGAGCAGUGGGAUUACCCCAAUGUGUGGGCGCCAAUGCAGUACAUCUUGGUCGAGGGUCUGAACAAUCUCAACACUCCCGAGGCCAAAAACAUGUCCAAGAAGUGGGCCAUCCGCUGGGUGAAGUCAAACUUCAAGGCCUUCAGCGAUCAAUUCCAUAUGUACGAGAAGUACAACGCCCUAGAGUUUGGAGGACAUGGAGGUGGAGGCGAGUACGAAGUGCAGACAGGAUUCGGUUGGUCGAACGGUGUGAUCAUCGAGUGGCUGAGCAAGCACGGGCGUGACAUUUCCACCGGAGCAGGAGGCGGCGCUGCAGGUGAAGAGCCGCAGUAGAGAGAAUCUGUAGCCAGGCCAGAACGCAAUCCAUCAUCAGACAUCAUCGUUAGCAUCAUCACAGGCUCAAAGCCAAAGCUUUUUCGAAAAAUUGUAUUUAGAUCUUUGUACAUGUACUAUAUAAGCAACCAUCCAGAAGCGCUCAUCAACUGCUCAUCAUCAACUAGGAUAAGCAAAAACGCUCUCUCUUUCUCCGCAAAAUCUAUCCCUAUAAACGCCGCUGUCUAUAACCUAUAUCUGUACCGCGAACCAUCGAACAAUCCCGAGACAAGCAUCGAAAACCACAGCACCCCAGUCACCCAGGCACCGCCAAGAACGAGGAUCCGAUGUCCACCAUCCAUCGAGCAUCCCUGUACUGUCUGUUGUCCAUGUCAUCCACGUCCAGUCCACGUCUGCACACUCGUGUGACUUGUCCAAAAUCAGGCAAAAAUCAAUAGGAACAUUAAAUGUCUCAAAGCAAGCCGAGCAUCGCGAUCAAGUUGAGGAUUCACGACCUCUCGUGUGAUGAACUUUGUGGGCUUGGCGGCUGUUACCGUAGUGGCUCUGAUAGCGGGUCGUUUUCUAUGGUGAGACACUCUGUGCCAAAACAACCCGUAAUUGCUUCCCAAGUAUUGUGAUUCCCCCGUGUGUGCGUGUAGUUGCUUAGUGUCUGUAGUUGUUCACGUUUUUCGUUGAAUGCGGAGAUUGCAGUAUUAGAUAUUCAUUAUUUGGUAGUUGAAGUGAGAGUUGUACAUACUGAAUUUAUAUGGGCAUGCCCGACAUUGUUAUUACGUUUUAAUAUUUAGCAAAUACCUAUACCAAUCCUAGCUCCUCGCAACCAAAUGAAGACACAAAUACAAAUGUUAAUAAUAAUGUACAAAACAAAAAUAAACAUGAACACAAAUUAUA